GAUGAAGAACGUAGCGAAAUGCGAUACUUGGUGUGAAUUGCAGAAUCCCGUGAACCAUCGAGUCUUUGAACGCAAGUUGCGCCCGAAGCCAUUAGGCCGAGGGCACGCCUGCCUGGGCGUCACACGUCGUUGCCCCCCCCAUCUACUCCUUCGGGAUUGCGGGGGGCGGAUGAUGGCCUCCCGUGCGCCUCGCCGCGCGGUUGGCAUAAAUGCCAAGUCCUCGGCGACGCACGCCACGACAAUCGGUGGUUGCGAAACCUCGGUUGCCCGUCGUGUGCGGUCGUCGCGCAUCGAGGGCUCGAAAAAAUUGCCGAGUUCCGGCUCGGCUUUCAACGCGACCCCAGGUCAGGCGGGGUUACCCGCUGAAUUUAAGCAUAGCAAUAAGCGGAGGA
rnacentral:misc_RNA from 1 species